GUUUGAUUUGAAAGGCUUCCUGCUUUUAAUUUCAUAAUCUGUUGGUUUUGAGCAGUGUUCUUUCUUUCUCUGGAGUUCAUACAUACCCCAGAUCUUACACAGCAAGAUUCUUACUGGCAAAAUACAAUAUCAAACCUUGGCUGUUGUCCAGCAUCAGUGACUUUUUCCUAUGUUUUUGUGGCUAAAGAGGAGACAGCUACCUAAAGUCACCUGUGACACUCCUACAGAAGCAUCAGCUUCUCACCUCAUUAAAAACAAUACAUGUUAAUAAAAAAUAGUUCUUACAGGUAGAAAUGAGCCAAUCCCUCUCCACAUCUUGGGAACUUAAGCAGACUAAUUUCUGAUGCAAUGUCCCUGUGCUGGUGAACAGCAUCCAAAUAAGCAUCAGGCUAUUGAAGAGGGAAGGGAACACACCAAAUGCUCUAAGAGCAUCCUGAGCCUGAGGCCCCACCAGAAUCACUGUCCUUCUAUCACAAAAACAAUAAUCAGCUCUCACAAAGCAAGCCUGAACUGCCAAACCCACCGGAAUUUUGGUAGCUGUUUCCAUUAAAAGAGAUCAUCUUUUAAUAAGUUAUAUAUUUUCGUGUCCAGUGAAAGCAGUGCUCCAUUACUUGUUACAUCAAUUUCAAUUUUACCUGUUCCAAUUUAGGCACAGCUUUUCUGCAAGUUCCCUGUUUAUGUACCGGAACAUUUCAGGCUGAGAAAGCUGAGGCUGUUGAGCCUGGAGAAGACUACAAUGGCACCUCAUAGCAACAUUCCAGUAACUGAAGAGGGCCUAGAGGGAAUCCAGAGAGGCACUGUUUGACAGGAACUGUUGAAAGGAAGGAGAUUUAGGUUAGAUAUUGGGAAGAAAUUCUUUCCUGUGAGGGUGGUGAGACACUGGCACAGGAUGCCCAGGGAUGUUGUGGCUGCCCCAACACUGGCAUCGUUCAAAGGCAGGUUUGAUAAGGCCUUGAGCAACCUGCUCUAGCGGGAGGUGUCCCUGCCCAUGGCAGGGGAUUUGGACUAGAUGAUCUUUAAGGGCCCUUCCAAUCCCAAAUAUUCUCUGAUUCCAUCAUAAAAAAGCCACACAUAGCCUUUCUGGGGAAAAUUAAAGUGGCAAUGUGGCAGCUUAGGAAUGGCUCAUAUUUCUGUUUACUGCUUGGCAAGAGGCAGCCCCUAUGGAGAUUGACACAUCCAAACCACAUACUACCUGGAGAGAAUAUGAGACUUUCCCAACUGGAUAAGGGGCUUUUAAUUUCAGAGGUAACCUAACACUCAACUAUCUCCAGAAAGCCCAGAAGUCUCUGCCCUGCUGACAUUCAUUUUUAAUAACAUGUGGGUAUUUCAGAGAGUGCCGAUAAUGUGACAGUUACCAAAGGGCAAGUGAAAUGACUGGGUAAUUACAGGGCAUUCACCUGACAUCAAGCCCAAGUAAAAAUGGAAAGAUGAUAUCUAACUAAAGUGAUCAUGAAUCAAAGGGAUAAGAAGAAAUACCAUGAUUUUCUAGAAAAUUGGCUGUAUCACACAAAGCUGAUCUCAUUCUCUGACAGGAUUACACAUUUGAUUGAUAAGGUAAUAGAUUUUCAACAGCAUGUGACAAAACACUUCAGCUUCCUCAUGGUACAGUACUCAGACAGCAAUUAUUAAAUGGGCUAAGAAAAGGCAGAUUAAUUGAGGAAUAUCUAAUCUGCUCAAGUAAUUCUCAAUUUGGUACUAUCAGAGUGUUUCUAAUGGGGGAAUCCUCUUCUCCCAAAGUUCUUGAAGGAAAAUGUUGACAUAAAUCACUAAUCACAGACCUGUGGAAAAGGAGAUUAGCUGGGGGAAAGAUAAUGAGGCCUGAACAAGUCAUACAUAUGGUGCUGGCUCCUCUGGCUGGCUGGGACCCAUAAAACUUCUUUUCGUAAAGUUAAGCAGGACCUCAGAGAGGUGGGAAUGGGGAACACUGACAUUCAGGAUGGAGAACUGCAUCAUGAAAAGUUUCAAGUCUGAGAAGAGUCAAACAACAAGAGUUCCCAGCCCAAUUUCAUGGUAUAAAAUGCCUAAAUUGAUCUUUAGAUGUGGAAAAAGGGGGACAGGGAAUAGGAAUCAGUGAUUUUUGCCUCUGUAAAUGGCACUGGUGGGAUCUAUGCUGGAAUACCACAUCAAUUUCCUCUGUGAACAAAUGUUUUAGAAGAUGUUGAAAAAUUGACCUACUGCAGAAUAAAGCCACAAAAUGGACUUAAAGGCUGGAGAAAAUGCAGUGAGAGCCAUAAAAAGCUUGUUCUUCAGCAAAAAGAAGAUGGAGAGGCUACUUGAUCACAGUGCAUUAGUGUCUUCAUGGGGGGGGAAAAACAGGUAUGAAUAGUCUAAAACACCAAGAGACAAAAAGAGCCUGGAAGUGAAGCUGGGCCAGAACAAAUGAGGAAUGAGGCACGUGUUUCUACCCACGAGUUUUAACUACUCCAUGAAAAGUUCAGAGAGCAGGGCAGAUGUACUCUGCAGACUAAAUGCCUUUCCCAGAAACAGUUAAGCCAUUCAGGUAUCAGCAGACCCUGGGCAUGCAGGAGAUUAAAUCAUACGUGCCACAGCAUCCAAUUCAACAAACCAGUGUUUUCUGCUGGCAUUAUUCCCUGUGAAUAAACCCAAAUUUUUGUUAACAAAUUGCUGAACAUUUAAAUCAUCAUUAGAUGUCAGCUAAUUUCCAUUUCCACAAUUUAUUCUCAUGCAUUGACAAGAUUAACAGUGUAAAAUUUAUGCUCAGCUUGUGCUUUUGUGGCUGUCCUCUGAAUCUUGUGAAAAGGAAGCUUUUUAAAAAAAGCAUUUUUCCUGCUGGACAAGCUUUAGAUUUUACAGCAAGGCUCUGAAGCAGCCUAGCCCCAGUAUAAAGGUGAGACAUUAAUUUUAUACCAGUUAAAUCUCCAAUGCUUCAUGAAAAUGUAGUCUUACAUGCUUUUAUUUAUGAUACUUCAAAUAUCUAGAGAAAACAGUAAUUACAAACCUGAUGCUAGCCACAUACAACAUGUGACUAUCCAUGUUACAUUUCCUUUAUCACACUAAACUUUUUGUAAUGUCACAGAGAAUACAGUGGGCAGCACU
rnacentral:lncRNA from 1 species